rnacentral:rRNA from 1 species
AGAGUUUGAUCAUGGCUCAGGACGAACGCUGGCGGCGUGCCUAAUACAUGCAAGUCGAGCGGAAUGAAGAAGAAGCUUGCUUCUUCUGAUUUUAGCGGCGGACGGGUGAGUAACACGUGGGCAACCUACCUUGUAGAUUGGGAUAACUCCGGGAAACCGGGGCUAAUACCGAAUAAUCCAUUUUGCUUCAUGGCGAAAUGUUAAAAGGCGGCUUCGGCUGUCACUGCAAGAUGGGCCCGCGGCGCAUUAGCUAGUUGGUAAGGUAACGGCUUACCAAGGCGACGAUGCGUAGCCGACCUGAGAGGGUGAUCGGCCACACUGGGACUGAGACACGGCCCAGACUCCUACGGGAGGCAGCAGUAGGGAAUCUUCCACAAUGGACGAAAGUCUGAUGGAGCAACGCCGCGUGAGUGAAGAAGGUUUUCGGAUCGUAAAACUCUGUUGUAAGGGAAGAACACGUACGAGAGUAACUGCUCGUAUCUUGACGGUACCUUAUUAGAAAGCCACGGCUAACUACGUGCCAGCAGCCGCGGUAAUACGUAGGUGGCAAGCGUUGUCCGGAAUUAUUGGGCGUAAAGCGCGCGCAGGCGGUCCUUUAAGUCUGAUGUGAAAGCCCACGGCUCAACCGUGGAGGGUCAUUGGAAACUGGGGGACUUGAGUACAGAAGAGGAAAGCGGAAUUCCAAGUGUAGCGGUGAAAUGC